rnacentral:rRNA from 1 species
GAUGAACGCUAGCGGGCGGCUUCACACAUGCAAGUCGAGGGGUAGGGGAGCAAUUCCUUAUACCGGCGGACGGGUGCGUAACGCGUAUGCAACCUGCCUUAUACAAGGUCAUAGCCCUGGGAACCGUGGACUAACACCGCAUAGGUUUACGAGACCGCAUGAUCUUGUGAUUAAAACUGAGGUGGUAUAAGAUGGUCAUGCGUCUGAUUAGGUAGUUGGUAGGGUAAUGGCCUACCAAGCCGACGAUCAGGAGGGGUUCUGAGAGGAUUACCCCCCACACUGGUACUGAGACACGGACCAGACUCCUACGGGAGGCAGCAGUGAGGAAUAUUGGUCAAUGGCCGGAAGGCUGAACCAGCCAUCCCGCGUGCAGGAUGACGGCCCUAUGGGUUGUAAACUGCUUUUGUACCUGAAGAAUAGGCCCAACGAGUUGGGAUUUGCCGGUAAGGUAUGAAUAAGCAUCGGCUAACUCCGUGCCAGCCGCCGCAGUAA